GCACCUGAGGAGAAAACAGAAGAAACCAAAGAGAAAACAGGAUCCAGUGAUGCUGCAGGUUCUGUUGAUAUGGAGAGUAAAGGAGAAAUUAACAAUUCAGGAUCAAAUGGAAAAUUCAAUAAGGAUGAGAAAGAAUCAGCAACCAGCACUCAGGAAGAAGGUGAUCCAUUGCUGACUGAUACCAAUACAGUAACUGGUAAGUGUACAUUUACUAUUGUAAAAGAAGAUCAGUGGAGGAUCUGAUGGGUUCAUUUCAUUCUGAACUUUGUUUUUGUUCCUGC